rnacentral:rRNA from 1 species
GAUGAACGCUGGCGGCGUGCCUAAUACAUGCAAGUCGAGCGAACGGACGAGAAGCUUGCUUCUCUGAUGUUAGCGGCGGACGGGUGAGUAACACGUGGAUAACCUACCUAUAAGACUGGGAUAACUUCGGGAAACCGGAGCUAAUACCGGAUAAUAUUUUGAACCGCAUGGUUCAAAAGUGAAAGACGGUCUUGCUGUCACUUAUAGAUGGAUCCGCGCUGCAUUAGCUAGUUGGUAAGGUAACGGCUUACCAAGGCAACGAUGCAUAGCCGACCUGAGAGGGUGAUCGGCCACACUGGAACUGAGACACGGUCCAGACUCCUACGGGAGGCAGCAGUAGGGAAUCUUCCGCAAUGGGCGAAAGCCUGACGGAGCAACGCCGCGUGAGUGAUGAAGGUCUUCGGAUCGUAAAACUCUGUUAUUAGGGAAGAACAUAUGUGUAAGUAACUGUGCACAUCUUGACGGUACCUAAUCAGAAAGCCACGGCUAACUACGUGCCAGCAGCCGCGAUAAUACGUAGGUGGCAAGCGUUAUCCGGAAUUAUUGGGCGUAAAGCGCGCGUAGGCGGUUUUUUAAGUCUGAUGUGAAAGCCCACGGCUCAACCGUGGAGGGUCAUUGGAAACUGGAAAACUUGAGUGCAGAAGAGGAAAGUGGAAUUCCAUGUGUAGCGGUGAAAUGCGCAGAGAUAUGGAGGAACACCAGUGGCGAAGGCGACUUUCUGGUCUGUAACUGACGCUGAUGUGCGAAAGCGUGGGGAUCAAACAGGAUUAGAUACCCUGGUAGUCCACGCCGUAAACGAUGAGUGCUAAGUGUUAGGGGGUUUCCGCCCCUUAGUGCUGCAGCUAACGCAUUAAGCACUCCGCCUGGGGAGUACGACCGCAAGGUUGAAACUCAAAGGAAUUGACGGGGACCCGCACAAGCGGUGGAGCAUGUGGUUUAAUUCGAAGCAACGCGAAGAACCUUACCAAAUCUUGACAUCCUUUGACAACUCUAGAGAUAGAGCCUUCCCCUUCGGGGGACAAAGUGACAGGUGGUGCAUGGUUGUCGUCGGCUCGUGUCGUGAGAUGUUGGGUUAAGUCCCGCAACGAGCGCAACCCUUAAGCUUAGUUGCCAUCAUUAAGUUGGGCACUCUAAGUUGACUGCCGGUGACAAACCGGAGGAAGGUGGGGAUGACGUCAAAUCAUCAUGCCCCUUAUGAUUUGGGCUACACACGUGCUACAAUGGACAAUACAAAGGGCAGCGAAACCGCGAGGUCAAGCAAAUCCCAUAAAGUUGUUCUCAGUUCGGAUUGUAGUCUGCAACUCGACUACAUGAAGCUGGAAUCGCUAGUAAUCGUAGAUCAGCAUGCUACGGUGAAUACGUUCCCGGGUCU